rnacentral:lncRNA from 1 species
UUUUUUUUUUUUUUUUUUUUUUUUUUUUACAUUUGACUAUUUUCUUGUUUAUUGGUAUUUCUUUGGGAGAUUUUUUUUUUUUUUUUUUUUUUGAGAUGGAGUUUCGUUCUUUUUUUUUUUAUUUUUUUUUUUUUUAUUGAUCAUUCUUGGGUGUUUCUCGCAGAGGGGGAUUUGGCAGGGUCACAGGACAAUAGUGGAGGGAAGGUCAGCAGAUAAACAAGUGAACAAAGGUCUCUGGUUUUCCUAGGCAGAGGUCCCUGCGGCCUUCCGCAGUGUUUGUGUCCCUGGGUACUUGAGAUUAGGGAGUGGUGAUGACUCUUAACGAGCAUGCUGCCUUCAAGCAUCUGUUUAACAAAGCACAUCUUGCACCGCCCUUAAUCCAUUUAACCCUGAGUGGACACAGCACAUGUUUCAGAGAGCACGGGGUUGGGGAUAAGGUGACAGAUCAACAGGAUCCCAAGGCAGAAGAAUUUUUCUUAGUACAGAACAAAAUGAAAAGUCUCCCAUGUCUACUUCUAUCCACACAGACCCGGCAACCAUCCGAUUUCUCAAUUUUUUCCCCACCCUUCCCGCCUUUCUAUUCCACAAAACCGCCAUUGUCAUCAUGGCCCAUCCCCAAUGAGCCGCUGGGCACACCUCCCAGACGGGGUCGUGGCCGGGCAGAGGGGCUCCUCACUUCCCAGUAGGGGCGGCCGGGCAGAAGCACCCCUCACCUCCCGGACGGGGCGGCUGGCCGGGCAGAGGGGCUCCUCACUUCCCAGUAGGGGCGGCCGGGCAGAGGCGCCCCUCACCUCCCGGAUGGGGCGGCUGGCCAGGCGGGGGGCUGAUCCCCCCACCUCCCUCCCGGACGGGGCGGCUGGCUGGGCGGGGGGCUGACCCCCCACCUCCCUCCCGGACUGGGCGGCUGGCCGGGCGGGGGGCUGACCCCCCACCUCCCUCCCGGACGGGGCGGCUGGCCGGGCAGAGGGCUCCUCACUUCCCAGUAGGGGCGGCCGGGCAGAGGAGCCCCUCAC